rnacentral:tRNA from 1 species
GGGGAGGUGGCCGAGUGGUUGAAGGCGCCCGCUUGGAAAGCGUGUUUACGUUUUUAGCGUAACGUGGGUUCGAAUCCCACUCUCUCCGC